rnacentral:tRNA from 1 species
GGACCCGUAGCUCAACCUGGUUAGAGCGCUGGGCUUUUAACCCAGAUGUUGCGGGUUCAAUUCCCGCCGGGUCCG